rnacentral:ncRNA from 1 species
GACUUUAGUGUCAGCUUUGAUUAAAUUUAUACAUGCAAGUUUCCGCAGCCCCGUGAGAAUGCCCUAGCUUUACCUAUAAUGGAAAAGAGGAGCCGGCAUCAGGCACAACACGCUUAGCCCAAGACGCCUUGCUUAGCCACACCCCCACGGGUAAUCAGCAGUAAUAGAUAUUAAGCCAUGAGUGAAAACUCGACUUAGUUAGCAUCAAGAGGGCCGGUUAAACUCGUGCCAGCCACCGCGGUUAUACGAGAGGCCCAAGUUGACAAACACCGGCGUAAAGAGUGGUUAAUAAAACAUAAACUAAGGCUGAACACCUUCAAAGCCGUCAUACGCUCCCGAAGGCAGGAAGUCCUCCAACGAAAGUGGCCUUAACAAAUUAUGAACCCACGAAAGCUAGGACACAAACUGGGAUUAGAUACCCCACUAUGCCUAGCCCUAAACAUAGAUGACCCCUCACAACUUCAUUCGCCAGGGAACAACGAGCCCCAGCUUAAAACCCAAAGGACUUGGCGGUGCUUUAGACCCCCCUAGAGGAGCCUGUUCUAGAACCGAUACUCCCCGUUCAACCUCACCCUUUCUUGUUUGUCCCGCCUAUAUACCGCCGUCGUCAGCUUACCCUGUGAAGGACUAAUAGUAAGCAAAAUUGGCAAAGCCUAAAACGUCAGGUCGAGGUGUAGCGUACGAAAGGGGAAGAAAUGGGCUACAUUUACUGACUCAGUAAACACGGAUUAUGCACUGAAAAAACAUCUAAAGGAGGAUUUAGCAGUAAGGGGGGAAUAGAGAGCCCCUCUGAAAAUGGCCCUGAAGCGCGCACACACCGCCCGUCACUCUCCCCAACAUAAACGAAUACACUAAAUAAAAAUAUAUAACAAAAAAGGGGAGGCAAGUCGUAACAUGGUAAGUGUACCGGAAGGUGCACUUGGAAAAACC